UUGAAAAAGGACAUUUCCUUAUGUUUUCAUUCAAAACAGUAUAAUUUUUUUCUCACGAAAGAAACAUUUAUUACUUAAAAGUUAGUGGUGUUGUGUCUAAUAUGGACCUUCAGUAGCCCCACUCACAGACCGGAAACAGCGAUUAACUGAUUUUCAAACAUUCACAUAACUAGCCUAGGAAUUUUAUUAAUUAUACUUCCGUUUAGACCAAAUUGUAGAACAUUGUUCAAUGUUUUUGGCAACCAAGUUCUCUUUGAACGGUUAAAUAUCCUUUCUCAUCGUGGUUUACCGCUAAAAGUUAUGGAAAGUGGUUUCGGACAGAUUAAACGAAUACAGUAGACCAGGAGAAUUUGUACAUCAUCAUGAUAAAUAGCAUUUGCAGAGAAAGUAAACUUGCAAUGGAAAUAGCAUGCACAGACUGUUCUAAAUAUAAGGUUGCCGUAAUCACUCUUGUGUGACACAGACUUUCGACCUUCUAAAUACAACUGUAUUUACGUUCAAUUGGACAAAAGAGCCAACUUGAGGGAUUAUGGUGUCAGACAAGGAUAUCGCCGUUGGCAUCUUCUGUUUAGGAGAAAAAACACAUCUAGAUUUUUACGUUGCUGUCGUGUACUUUUCCAAAAUGCAAUUCAAAUCUGUCAAUAGCCAUAAGUUAGUGAUAAUGGUACAUUAAUGGUCUUGUAAAUAGAUGUCAUAUUGAUUUUUAUCAUUAUUUCCUAACGAGAUAAACAUUUAAAAUGAUGUUUUUAAUAUUUAUAUAUUUAUAGACUGAUUUAUUCAAACAUUUAUCAAUCAUUUAUAAAAUUUUCCUCCUGGUUGUAAAAAAAUAUAUCGACUUAUGUAAUAAAAUGGGCAAAAACAUUUAAUGAAACGAAAAAUACCAAUCACUUUUGACAUUUAUUUUCAGAGUAUUGCACUCUUGCACAAGGUAUGUGACUGACUUUGGGUGUUCCUUCAAGACGAAACAAGUCAUCAAAGAACAGACUGCUUUUUACAUGUGAAAAACUGUAGGUUAAUGCUAUAGGGUGGUUUCAGACAGCAUUGACUAAAAAGAAUAGUUAGGCGCUAUUGUAUUGCACAAUUGUGGUUUAAAAAUUACUGAUUUUAAUUCAUGUUUUGGUCAAGAGUUCCUAUAUUUUUAUUUUAUUAUAAUGCUUUAACACGAAACAUUGCAACUUGACGAAAUGCAGAUCAUUCAUUAGAGCAUCCAUCUUCGUUCUGUUUAUAUAUUUUCUUCACUAUUGAAAAGGUUAGAAUCAAGUAAGAUGUUGUCCUUAGUUUUAAAUACCGUUUUCGAGCGACCACAUUUCAAUUUCAAUAGCGGAACGGUCAUUCUUUGUUCAACAAGCCACCAGUUUUCAAAACACUUUUUUUCUUUAUAGCAAAACACAUAUAACAAAGUGACCAAAAGCUGUAUACACAAAGAAAAUGCUAUUAAACGGUAUCCAAA